rnacentral:rRNA from 1 species
GACGAACGCUGGCGGCGUGCUUAACACAUGCAAGUCGAACGGAAAGGCCCUGCUUGCAGGGUACUCGAGUGGCGAACGGGUGAGUAACACGUGGGUGAUCUGCCCUGCACUUCGGGAUAAGCCUGGGAAACUGGGUCUAAUACCGGAUAGGAGCCAUUUUGAGUGUGAUGGUUGGAAAGUUUUUUCGGUGUAGGAUGAGCUCGCGGCCUAUCAGCUUGUUGGUGGGGUAAUGGCCUACCAAGGCGGCGACGGGUAGCCGGCCUGAGAGGGUGGACGGCCACAUUGGGACUGAGAUACGGCCCAGACUGCUACGGGAGGCAGCAGUGGGGAAUAUUGCACAAUGGGCGCAAGCCUGAUGCAGCGACGCCGCGUGGGGGAUGACGGCCUUCGGGUUGUAAACUCCCUUCGCUAGGGACGAAGCUUUUUGUGACGGUACCUAGAUAAGAAGCACCGGCUAACUACGUG